AAAAGGCCGUAAUAUUUAUUAACAUCAAAGAGCAGUAGCGCAGAGAAGGGAACACGGCUGGCAGGAAAGACAUAAAACUGCGACCGUAGUCAGCCGUAGUUGCGCACAGCACGUGUGCAAUGGCGGCUGCCAUGUCAAGGCGAGGCUAGCCACCGUAGUGAGGCGUCACGCGAGGCGUGCGUGCGUGUUUGUGACUGAACGAUGUGUUUUUAAGGAACCCGUGGUGUUAGCGCCUGCGCAAUCUCAUUCGUGCGGUAGUACAUUUGGAUAGUUUUUAUCUGUGGCUGCUGUUGUAACUUCAAAACAACGCAAGGCAACUCUUUUACCCCUGUUCCUCGCGGCUUUGUGGAUCUAUCAGCAGGCAUCGAUGUGCAGCGUUUUCCCCGGCGCCGAUUUACCAUUUCGAGGUUUUUUUAACCACUUCCUCAAAAGGACGUCCUUUGGUUGAAGUCAACGAAAAGCUCUCAAUCAAGAUUGCAGGUGGCUACAUCGAAUGACACUUUGUAGACUGCAUCAAAUAAACAUUUGAUGAUGA